rnacentral:rRNA from 1 species
UCGAGCGAGAAGUUGAAAUUGGAAGCUUCGGCCGAAGAGAUCAGCGGAAAGCGGCAAACGGCGUAGUGAUACGUAGGUACGUACCCUUGGGUUGGGAAUAGCCACGGGAAAUUGUGGGUAAUGCCCCAAUAAUCUCUGCGGAGCAAAGGUGUGAUUCCGCCUGAGGAGCGGCCUACGCGAUAUUAGCUAGUUGGUGGGGUAAUGGCCUACCAAGGCGAAGAUGUCUAGGGGGUGUGAGAGCAUGGCCCCCACGACCGGAACUGAGACACUGUCCGGACACC